rnacentral:lncRNA from 1 species
GGAAGAGCACGUUAGGAGAGCUAGACUUUAGACAAUGCUUAAUCAACAUUUACUCAUUCUUUUCUUAGUUUAAGAACCAUUUCCUUAAAGAAGCCUUUGACUACCUUUCUUCCCCAAGUCUAGGGUAAGUUCUUAUACACUCACAGAAUUAUGUUUUAUUAUUUUAGAACACUCAUUAUAAUUUCUAAUCGUUUAAUACUAGUCUUCUCUAAGUUCUAUGAAAGAGGGUCUGGUCUAGUUCAGAUGUAUUGCCUGAUACAUAGCAAGUGUUCAAUAAAUAUUUGAAUAAUUUUUACAACAAAGGAGAAAUUUAAAACCUUCCAUCAAACUACUUAGAAAUUAAGGACAAUGAAAAUAUUACACUGACUUAAGGACCAUGGCCAAAGCUAUUCUAAAUUUUUCUCAUUUAAAUAAAAAUAUCUGAUACAGGAUGGAGUGUGGUUCAGUGGCAGAAUGCUUGCCUAGCAUGGUGAGGCACUGGGUUCAAUCCUUAGCAUCACUUAACAAAUACAGGAAUUCUGUUCAUCUACAACUACCAAAAAAAUUUUUUUUUUAAAUCUAUAACACUUGUAAUCUUAUUGUGAUUCCAAUGACUUGUGAGGCUGAGGCAAGAGGAUUGCAAAUUUUGAGGCCUGCCUCAGCAACUUAGUGAGACCCUGUAUCAACAUAAAAACCCGUUAGGGAUAUGGCUCAGUGGUAAAGCAUCCCUGGGUUCAAUCUCCCCAAUACCAAAACAACAACAACAAAAAAAAAAACUAUGAGACUCCAGAAAAAAUUAAUGACUUGGAACAAAACCAGUAGAAGAGGCCAAUGAAAUAUACAACAUACUGGCAAUGCUAAUCAUGGGACAAAUGCAAAUGCAUAAUAAUAAAAAUGAUACAGGACAACAGGUGAAACAGUGUAAAAU